UACGGAGGGGGCAAGCGUUGUUCGGAAUGACUGGGCGUAAAGGGUGCGUAGGCGGCGAGUUAAGUCAGCGGUAAAAGCCCGGGGCUCAACCCCGGCCCGCCGUUGAAACUGGCUGGCUUGAGUUGGGGAAAGGCAGGCGGAAUGCGUGGUGUAGCGGUGAAAUGCAUAGAUAUCACGCAGAACCCCGAUUGCGAAGGCAGCAUACCGGUGCACAACUGACGCUCAGGCACGAAAGCGUGGGGAGCAAACAGG
rnacentral:rRNA from 1 species